rnacentral:rRNA from 1 species
CAGUAGCCGCGGGAAUACAGAGGGUGCGAGCGUUAAUCGGAUUUACUGGGCGUAAAGCGUGCGUAGGCGGCUUCUUAAGUCGGAUGUGAAAUCCCUGAGCUUAACUUAGGAAUUGCAUUCGAUACUGGGAAGCUAGAGUAUGGGAGUGGAUGGUAGAAUUCCAGGUGUAGCGGUGAAAUGCGUAGAGAUCUGGAGGAAUACCGAUGGCGAAGGCAGCCAUCUGGCCUAAUACUGACACUGAGGCACGAAAGCGUGGGGAGCAAACAGGAUUAGAUACCCCCGUAGUCCCUGUCUCUUAUAC